AAUGGGCGCAAGCCUGAACCAGCCAUGUCGCGUGCAGGACGACUGCCCUAUGGGUUGUAAACUGCUUUUGUAUGGGAAGAAACGACGGCACGAGUGCUGUUUUGCCGGUACCAUACGAAUAAGGAUCGGCUAACUCCGUGCCAGCAGCCGCGGUAAUACGGAGGAUCCGAGCGUUAUCCGGAUUUAUUGGGUUUAAAGGGUGCGUAGGCGGGAUAUUAAGUCAGUGGUGAAAGUUUGACGCUCAACGUUAAAAUUGCCAUUGAUACUGGUUUUCUUGAGUACAGUUGAGGUAGGCGGAAUGUGGUGUGUAGCGGUGAAAUGCAUAGAUAUACCACAGAACACCGAUUGCGAAGGCAGCUUACUAAGUUGUAACUGACGCUGAAGCACGAAAGCAUGGGGAUCAAA
rnacentral:rRNA from 1 species